GAUGAAGAACGUAGCGAAAUGCGAUAAGUAAUGUGAAUUGCAGAAUUCAGUGAAUCAUCGAAUCUUUGAACGCACAUUGCGCCCUCUGGUAUUCCGGGGGGCAUGCCUGUCCGAGCGUCAUUGCUGCCCUCAAGCACGGCUUGUGUGUUGGGCCCCGCCCCCCGGCUCCCGGGGGGCGGGCCCGAAAGGCAGCGGCGGCACCGCGUCCGGUCCUCGAGCGUAUGGGGCUUCGUCACCCGCUCCGUAGGCCCGGCCGGCGCCCGCCGGCGACCCCCCUCAAUCUUUUCAGGUUGACCUCGGAUCAGGUAGGGAUACCCGCUGAACUUAAGCAUAUCAAUAAGCGGAGGA
rnacentral:misc_RNA from 1 species